GCCACCGCUUUGCUGGCGCGCACCCCAACGCCGCUGGGGCGUUGAAUAAGUUAUUCUGGUUCUUACUCUGCUCAGCAACAUUUACCAAAAUGAUGAGGCCCUUCCAGCUGGGCCCCUGAACUUCUGCCAGAUAAAGGCACUUCUCCACACCCAGGGAUCCAGUCAAGAUUCAAGCACCCCAACUCUGCCCUUGCUGAGCUCACACACAGAAUGCAACGCAAUGGCAGUGAGUUCUUCGGAGCGUGAGCAGAGGAUUUAUUUUGAAAACUGUCACUGUGCCGGGCGCCAAGGACAGAGCGGCCAGGUGAUGGAUGGAGAAACUGGGGUCUCCUAACGCUAAGGAUGUGCUGCAGGUGGAAGAGUUAGCAAGAGGCCCCAGUGAUGCCCGGGUCUGGACGGCUGAGUCAGAACAUGAGCCUUCCAACGCUUCAGCGCCGCGCAGCGAGCACCUGCUGUGCGCUGGGCCCUGCUGGCGAGACAGAUGGACAAGGGACUCGCUGCUCCC